rnacentral:rRNA from 1 species
GACGAACGCUGGCGGCGUGCUUAACACAUGCAAGUCGAACGGAAAGGCCCUGCUUUUGUGGGGUGCUCGAGUGGCGAACGGGUGAGUAACACGUGAGUAACCUGCCCUUGACUUUGGGAUAACUUCAGGAAACUGGGGCUAAUACCGGAUAGGAGCUCCUGCUGCAUGGUGGGGGUUGGAAAGCUUCGGCGGUUGGGGAUGGACUCGCGGCUUAUCAGCUUGUUGGUGGGGUAGUGGCUUACCAAGGCUUUGACGGCUAGCCGGCCUGAGAGGGUGACCGGCCACAUUGGGACUGAGGUACGGCCCAGUCUCGUACGGGGGGCAGUAGUGGAGAAUAUUGCCCAGUGGGCGGAAGCCUGAUGCAGCAGCGCCGCGUGCGGGAUGACGGCCUUCGGGUUGUAAACCGCUUUCGCCUGUGACGAAGCGAGAGUGACGGUAAUGGGUAAAGAAGCACCGGCUAACUACGUG